rnacentral:rRNA from 1 species
UACGAAGGGGGCGAGCGUUGUUCGGAUUUACUGGGCGUAAAGGGCGCGCAGGCGGCGCAUUUUGUCAGGCGUGAAAGCCCCGGGCUUAACCUGGGAACUGCGUUUGAUACGGAUGGGCUAGAGUUCGGGAGAGGAGAGUGGAAUUCCCAGUGUAGAGGUGAAAUUCGUAGAUAUUGGGAAGAACACCGGUGGCGAAGGCGGCUCUCUGGACCGAGACUGACGCUGAGUGAGCGAAAGCCAGGGGAGCAAACGGG